UGAAGCUGGAAUUGCUAGUAAUGGCAGGUCAGCAUACUGCCGUGAAUACGUUCCCGGGCCUUGUACACACCGCCCGUCACACCAUGAGAGUUGGGAAUACCCGAAGCCUGUGAGCUAACUUAAAGAGGCAGCAGUCGAAGGUAGAGCCAAUGAGUGGGGUGAAGUCGUAACAAGGUAUC
rnacentral:rRNA from 1 species